UACGUAGGGACCGAGCGUUGUCCGGAAUCAUUGGGCGUAAAGAGCGUGUAGGCGGCUUGCUAAGUCUGGCGUGAAAUCUCGGGGCUCAACCCCGAGCGGUCGUGGGAAACUGGCAGGCUAGAGUGCGGGAGAGGAGAAUGGAAUUCCUGGUGUAGCGGUGAAAUGCGCAGAUAUCAGGAAGAACACCCGUGGCGAAGGCGGUUCUCUGGAACGUAACUGACGCUGAGACGCGAAAGCGUGGGGAGCAAACAGG
rnacentral:rRNA from 1 species